rnacentral:lncRNA from 1 species
AAUCUAAUUAGAAGUCCAAUCAUCUCAAUAAAUUUCUAAUCCAAUUAAGAAUUAGUCGAGCCCAAGUCUUGAUCAAAUCAGGAUUAAAUUUCUCUUGCCAUCAGGUUUGAUCAAAUUAAAUCAAAUCUAAGUCAAAAUGAAUCCAAUUUAGUAAGACUUAAUCCAAAGUACUUUGCUCAAUCAAAUUGAGUCAAUUAGUAAUUUAAUUGCUAGUAAAUUCUUCACUAAUAGUAGAGUCUCAGUUCAGUGAGACUCUCCUCUUUAGUUCCAAUCCCAAUGAGACUCUUCACCAGAGUCAUAAUCCAAUUAAAAUUUUUAGCCAUC